UCCCCAUCGCUACAGCUCCCUCCUCUUCGUCGUCCUCUUCCUCUUCCACCAUCGUCGCCAUUUGCUGCCUUAUGCAUUCCCUUAGCCCGCUCUCUUCUACUACUACCAUCUCUCUCUCCCCCCUGUCCCUCCCGUUUCUAGGCGGUUCCGGCUUCCACCUGCGGCCACCUGUGAAUGAUGGAGCGGGAUGGCAAUUUGGAGCCGUGAUUUGUUUGGAUGGUUGGGGUGCGUUGUCAUGGUGGAGGAUCGGUGCACGGUUGCCGGUAUUUGGAUUGAGGACUUAGGAAGGAGGGAUGAAUGGUUGAGCAUGAGAGUAUGAAAUUGUGGAUUGCGAAUUGUCGUUGAGAUCGCUUGGUGGUUGAUUGGAUUCUGAGCAGGAUGAUUGGAGCGUGGAGCGUAAUGUGUACUUGGGAAUGACGAAGAGAAGCAUUGGAGGUUGGAUUUGAGGUUGGAUUAUUUGGUUGGGGAAUUCAUCACUCUGAGCUAUGGCGAUGGCCAUGGCCAUGGGCGUAGGAGGGCAUCGAAGCUCAAGUGCCGGUGCGGUUUUCACCUCCCAGGUCUGCUCGAGAGGCGCCGGAGUAGGCACGAAAGUUGCAGUGCGUGUGGACCAUGUGGUGAAGGCAAUUAAGGCAGAUGACGGGAGUGGCAAUGGGAAGGAGAAGAAUACUCUGGGCUGGAAAUCGACACAUUUGUCCGCGAGGCCGCUCACAAUUUGCAGAGUGGCUGGCGUGAGCUCUGACAGUGCCAAUACGGAGACAGAGUCAAAGGAAGAGGCCGGGCAUCGUCUCUGCGGGCCUCCUCUCAGGGGCAGGCCCUUGCCAUUUGGUGCCACUGCUUGCGAGGAGGGCGUCAAUUUUGCGGUGCAUUCAAGUGGUGCUACUGCUGUGGCGCUGUGCUUGUUUACAGAAUCCGACUUGCAGCAAGGUGUUGUGACCAAGGAAGUGCCACUGCAUCCAGUCUUUAAUCGUACUGGAGAUGUAUGGCAUAUAUUCCUGCCAGAUUUGCAGUCCAACUUGUUGUAUGGGUACCGAGUCGAUGGUCGUUACAUUUUAGAGGAGGGUGCUUGCUAUGACGCCAGACGGAUUCUUGUGGAUCCUUAUGCGAAGGCAGUGAUCAGUCGGGAACGUUAUGGAACUUUGGGAGAAGGUGGCGAUUGUUGGCCUCAAAUGGCUGGUAUGAUCCCAGAUCUUCAUGACGAGUUUGAUUGGGAUGGUGAUUUUCCUCCUCGUAUACCCCAAAAGGAUUUGGUAAUAUAUGAAAUGCAUGUUCGUGGUUUCACUAAACAUGCUUCUAGCGAAGUGGAACAUCCAGGAACUUACAUUGGUAUGAUCGAGAAGCUGGCUUAUCUCAAGGCCCUAGGCAUCAAUGCAAUUGAGCUCAUGCCGAGCCACGAAUUCAACGAAUUGGAAUAUCAUGCCUACAAUCCCAUGAUGAGCGACUAUAAGAUGAACUUUUGGGGCUACUCAACAAUAAAUUUCUUUUCACCGAUGAUACGGUAUGCAUCAGCUGGGAACAAAAACUGUGGCAAAGAAGCUAUUAAGGAAUUCAAGUCACUAGUAAGAGAGGCGCACAAACUUGGCAUGGAAGUACUGAUGGAUGUUGUGUUCAACCACACCGCCGAAGGCAAUGAAAUGGGCCCGACCAUCUCAUUUAGAGGUUUUGAUAACCAUGUUUACUAUAUGAUUGCCCCGAAGGGGGAGUUCUAUAACUACUCUGGCUGUGGAAACACUUUCAAUUGUAACCAUCCCGUCGUGAGGCGUUUUAUAAUUGACUGCCUAAGGUACUGGGUCACUGAAAUGCAUGUGGAUGGAUUCCGUUUUGACUUAGCCUCCAUUAUGACACGCGCUAGUAGUUUGUGGGACAAGGUCAACGUCUUCGGAAGAUCAGACGAAUUAGUCAACGACACCGUAACGACAGGAACUCCACUCAAUGAGCCCCCACUGAUUGACAUGAUCAGUAAUGAUCCUGUUCUUCGUGGUGUGAAACUCAUCGCCGAGGCAUGGGACUGUGGAGGUCUCUACCAAGUAGGAAGCUUUCCGCACUGGGGAGUAUGGUCUGAGUGGAAUGGGCAGUUCCGCGAUAUGGUCCGUUUGUUUAUCAAAGGAACAGAGGGAACAGCUGGGAUAUUUGCUCAGUGUCUCUGUGGGUCUCCUCAUCUAUAUCAGGAAGGAGGCCGAAAACCGUGGCACAGCAUCAAUUUCAUAACAGCUCACGAUGGAUUCACUUUAGCAGAUCUUGUGUCAUAUAACCAGAAACAUAACGUAGCAAAUGGGGAGGAUAAUAACGACGGUGACAACCAUAACAAUAGUUGGAAUUGUGGAGAGGAAGGGGAGGUGGUGAGCAUUCCUGUUCAAAGGUUGCGACAACGACAGCUUCGAAAUUUCUUUGUGGCUCUAAUGGUUUCACAAGGAGUGCCCAUGAUUACCAUGGGAGAUGAAUAUGGUCAUACAAAAGGUGGCAAUAACAAUACAUAUUGUCAUGAUAAUUUUAUCAAUUAUUUUAGGUGGGACAUGAAAAGAGCCGACCCAAAUGGCUUUCACAGAUUCGCAAGUCUAAUGAUGAACUUUCGAAGCGGAACAGAAUGCCUAAGAUUAGGAGAUUUUCUCACUGGAGAUAGGCUUGAGUGGCAUGGAAUAUUUCCUAAUACUCCCGACUGGACGGAGUCCAGCAAAUUUGUGGCCUUCACCCUGGUUGACCAGCAGAAGAGGGAACUUUAUAUUGCAUUCAACGCAAGCCAUCUUCCAGUGAUGGUCACGUUGCCUGAUCGCGUAGGGGCAAAGUGGUACCCUUUGGUAGACACUUCCAAGCCCACCCCUUACGAUUUCCUCGUUGACGAUGUCCCCAACAUUGAUGUAGUCUUGGCCCAGACCUCAAACUUCCUGAACAGUAAUUUGUACCCCAUGAUUAGCUAUUCUUCAAUUGUACUUGUUCUGAAAGAUGAAGAUGCAUUCUAACUUCAUCAUAAUUUUAAGUUCAGCACCUUAUAGUCUAGCAAGAUUUCUGAAUCUGCUCACAUUUUGGAGAGCCUAGCAACUGGAAAUUAGGUUAUGGCUCGGCUUUUACGACAAAUUCUGUAGGGCGGUGUUGAUCAGUGUUUCCGCAUGAUAUCUGGUUUUGGUAAUGAACUUUUAGAAGAAAAACAUUAUUCGGUUAAGAGGUAUUUUGUCCACCUGGACACAGAUGUGUGGAGCAAUUCGCUUUUUUUCUCUUGAGGCCAUCACCAGGCACGACGCCGACAUGAACGUGUGGCACUGUGGAGCAGCUCCUCGGUGCGCCGGAGUAAAUUCCAUUUUUCCGAACUGCUCUAGCAUAUGUUCUCCAUUGUAACAAAUGGCGGUAACCCUCUACUACCACACUAACCGCAAAGCCAUAAAUUUUGUA